rnacentral:lncRNA from 10 species
GCAGAGAGAGCCAUAUGGCUUGAAAAUCUGCCCCAAGCUACCUGCCUCCAAGCUGUGAAAGAAAAGGGCUUGGUUCCUCCCGCUCCUGUGGAGUCUGCAUACUGGAUUCACACUCUUCCCGGAGUUCUGGCCAGGAGGCUUCUCUCCCUGUUGAAAUUGUCACAAAGUUCAGAGCUCAUCAAAUUGUAAACUUCCACAUGGACCAUUAAAUCCCCAUCCAAAUUAUGCUGGGAUUUAAGUCUGGCAGCUAUGAGAGAAGGUGAAUUCAGAUUCCAAGGGAGGUAUCUGUUGUUCUGUUGGGGACAGCCCUGUACCAAGUCUUAUGAAACUGGAGAAUUCCUAGCUAUUAAUAGGCUGCUAGAAUUUUUUCAGCUGAGACCCUGCAUAACAGACCUACCUUGACCAUUUAAAUGAUUCUGAAUCUCUGAGACUGCAUCAGAUUCUUACUCUACUGUAUUAGUCUGUUCUUACACUGCUGUGAAGAAAUGCCCAACACUGGGUAAUUUAUAAAGGAAAGAGGUUUAAUUGACUCACAGUUCUGCAUUGCUGGGGAGGCCUCAGGAAACUUACAAUCACGGCAGAAGGUAAAGGAGAAGCAGGUGUCUUCUUCAGAGGGCAGCAGAACAGAGAGAGUAGUGUCCUACAGACGAAAUUGCCUACUAUGUCUUCCAUGUCUCCCAGGAGCAUGCCUGCCUUACAACCCUUCAAGUGUUCAGUCAUUGGCUGGGGCAAGCUGAGAGCCAAAUCAUGAAUAAACUCUCGUUCACAAUUGCCACAAAAAGAAUAAAAUACCUACGAAUACAGAUAACAAAGGAAGUGAAUGAUCUCUUCAAGGCAAACUACAAACCACUGCUCAAAUAAAUCAGAGAGGACACAAACAGAUGGAAAAACAUUCCAUGCUCAUGGAUAGGAAGAAUCAAUAUUAUGAAAAUGGCCAUACUGCCCAAAGCAAUUUAUAGAUUCAAUGCUAUUUUCAUUAAACUAUCAUUGACAGUCCUCACAGAACUUAGAAAACACCAUUUUAAAAUUCAUGUGGAACCAAAGAAGCACCUGAAUAGUCAAGCCUAUCCUAAACAAAACAAAAACAGCUGGAGACAUCAUGCUACCUUACUUCAAAUUGUACUACAGGGCUACAGUAACCAAAACAGCACAGUACUGAUACAAAAACAGACAUAUAGACCAAUGAAACAGAAGAGAGAACCCAGAAAUAAGACCACACACCGACAACCAUCUGAUCAUCAGUAAACCUGAACAAAACCAGCAAUGGUAAAGGAUUCCCUAUUUAAUAAAUGGUGCUGGAAGAAUUGGCUAGCCAUAUGCAGAAAAUUGAAAUUGGACCCCUUCCUUACAUCAUGUACAAAAAUCAACUCAAGAUAAGUUAAAGACUUAAGUGUAAAACUCAAAACUAUAAAUACCCCAGAAGAAAACGUAGGCAAUACCAUUUAGGAGAUAGGCAUGGACAAAGAUUUCAUGACUGAUAUGCCAAAAGCAAUUGCAACAAAGCCAAAAUUGACAAAUGGGCUCUAAUUAAUAUAAAGAGCUUCUGCACAGCAAAAUAAACUAUCAUCGGAGUAAACAGACAACCUACAGAAUGGGACAAAAUUUUGUCAAUCUAUCCAUCUGACAAAAGUCUAAUAUCCAACAUCUACAAGGAACUUAAACAAAUGUACAAGAAAAAAACAAACAACCCCAUUAAAAAGUGGACAAAGUGCAUAAAUAGACACUUCUCAAAAGAAGACAUGUAGCCAACAAACAUGAAAAAAAGUCUCAACAUCACUGAUCAUUAGAGAAAUGCAAAUGAAACCCACGAUGAGACACCAUCUCACACCAGUCAGGAUGGCUGUUUUUAAAAACUCAAAAAACAACUAAUGCUGGUUAGGCUGUAGAGGAAAGAAUGCUUUUACACUGUUGUUGGAAGUGUAAAUUACUUCAGCCAUUGUGGAAGACAGUGUGGUGAUUCCUCAAAGAUCUAGAGGCAGAAAUACCAUUUGACUCAGCAAUCUCAUUACUGGCUAUACACACAAAGGAAUAUGAAUCAUUCUGUUAUAAAGAUAAAGGCACACAUAUGUUCAUUGCAGCACUAUUCACAAUAGCAAAGAUAUGGCAUCAACUUAAAUGCCCAUCAAUAAUAGACAGGAUAUAGAAAAUGUGGUACAUAUACACCAUGGACUACUACGCAGCCAUAAAAGGGAAUGUCAUCAUGUCCUUUGCAGGACAUAGAUGGAGCUGGAAGCCAUUAUCCUCAGCAAACUAACACAAGAAUAGAAAAUCAAAUUACCGCAUAUUCUCAUUUAUAAGUGGGAGCUGAAUGAUGAGAACACAUAGACACAUGGUGGGGAACAAUAUACACUGGGGCCUGUUGGAAGGUAGGGGAUGAGAGGAAGGAGAGCAUCAGGAAGAAUAACUAAUGGAUGCUGGGCUUAAUACCUAGGUGAUGGGAUGAUCUGUGCAGCAAACCACCAUGGCACAUGUUUCCCUAUGUAACAAACCUCCACAUCCUGCACAUGUAUCCCUGAAGUUAAAAUAAGAGUUGGA